AUAGAAAAUGGACUGUAUGGCAGUGAAACUUGGCCCUAGGGGCCUGCUGUUGUGCCAGGUGUUAUUCCUGUAAUUGCCGAAUUGUGCAGGGUUCAAGAAGUUCCUGAGGAAAAUAUCAGGAAUACUGGGGUGGCCAGGGGACCUCCAGGAGGCUCAGGAAAGUAGGUAUUUUACAAAACACGUUGGAAGUAUUUUAGUGUUUCAAGAACUGGUUGGCAUGCUGGCUAAAUAUUAAACUGCAUAAAUUCCUUGAUAUCUAUUGACCUAGUUUACAGAUGAAGAAACUAAGGUGCGAGAGAAAUUUAAGUAAUUUGUUCAAGAUCACUCAACUAUUAUGUGAUAGAGUCAGGAUUCUCAUCUGUCUGGCUGAAUUCAAAACAUGGGAUUUGGAGCAAAAUAUUUGCUAGAUGGAGAGGAGAUGUCAUACCAGCACUUACUGGGGCCAUGCCUGUAUCCACACAUGAAAGCCUACUGAGAGGAUGUUGCAGUAGACAGCCCCUGGGAAGGUCCUCAUUCAUCCCUGGUAUCCCCUCUCUUUGAGUGACUUGCUUCUCAGUUCUUGAAUACCUCAACAUAGGGGGAUGUCACUUCCAUGAUUUGAUUACAAAGAUUUUGACUGCUGUCUUGCUAGCUGACUCUCCCUUGCUGGCUUUGAUGAAACAAGUUUGUAGGGCCCAUAUGGCAAGGAAAUGAGGGCAGCAUUUAGCCAACAACCAGUUGGGAACUGAGGCCUUUAGUCCACCAUUCCAAAAAGAAUUGAAUUCUGCCAAAAACCACAUAUGUGAGCUUCUCCAGUUGAGCCUUCAGAUGAGUCCCCAGCCCUGAUUGACAUCUUUGUUGCAGCAUGCUGAGAGAACUUGAAGCAGAGGACUCAGAUAAGCUAUUCAUGGAUUCCAAACAACAGAAACUAUAAAACCAGAGGAAUUUUCCAUUAUUAGUAGCCAUGUAAAGGAAUCUUAUGGGAUGUGCUUCAGGCAGACAGUAAAACCAUCCCAGAUGGCAAGACUGAGAUACAAGAAUAGAGAGCAAAGAAAAUGAGUAAAUAUACAGGUUUACUGGAGUUGAUGUAAGGAGCUGAACAGCAUUCAAAGAUUCCCAUAUGGGUUAAUGAGCAAUGACACUCUUCAAAAGAGGUGACAAGAUGAAGAUGACAUAUGCAUUUGCUGGUGUGAUAUUGGGCAGACUCACUUCUUUGCUCUUGUUGAAGAAUGGUCUAUUCCCCAUAAGGACAUGUGUCCUGGAACAUCUGGAUGUCAAUGGCAUCUAGAAUGAAUCUAGACUUUGUAAGGAAGAUCUCAGGUAGGAGACUGGUAGGUAAAAUGGACAAUCAGUAUUAUUUCCAGAUUAAGGUUGCGGCCUCGAAAUUAACUAGGUUACUUUCUAGUUAGGAUCAUAACCCAGAAUCUGCCUGAGCAAGGCAGCGGGGCUAGAGCAGGUCUCACCCUAUUUUGACAAUUCAGGUUUACUUUCAUAGUUUUUGCAUA